rnacentral:rRNA from 1 species
ACUCCUACGGGAGGCAGCAGUGGGGAAUUUUGGACAAUGGGCGAAAGCCUGAUCCAGCAAUGCCGCGUGAGUGAAGAAGGCCUUCGGGUUGUAAAGCUCUUUUGUCAGGGAAGAAACGGUGAGAGCUAAUAUCUUUUGCUAAUGACGGUACCUGAAGAAUAAGCACCGGCUAACUACGUGCCAGCAGCCGCGGUAAUACGUAGGGUGCAAGCGUUAAUCGGAAUUACUGGGCGUAAAGCGUGCGCAGGCGGUUUUGUAAGUCUGAUGUGAAAUCCCCGGGCUCAACCUGGGAAUUGCAUUGGAGACUGCAAGGCUAGAAUCUGGCAGAGGGGGGUAGAAUUCCACGUGUAGCAGUGAAAUGCGUAGAUAUGUGGAGGAACACCGAUGGCGAAGGCAGCCCCCUGGGUCAAGAUUGACGCUCAUGCACGAAAGCGUGGGGAGCAAACAGGAUUAGAUACCCCUGUAGUCCCAUG